AACGAACGCUGGCGGCGCGUUUAAGCAUGCAAGUCGAACGGUAACAAAGUGCUUGCACUUUGUGAGAGUGGCGAACGGGUGAGUAACACGUAGGUAAUCUGCCUCUGGGCACGGGGAUAGCCCAUGGAAACAUGGGGUAAUACCCGAUACGAUGUAUUGAUUGAUUUGAUACAGGAAAGGCGCUAAGGUGCCGACCUGAGAUGAGCCUGCGGCUUAUUAGUUAGUUGGUGGGGUAAAGGCCUACCAAGACGAUGAUAAGUAGCCGGCCUGAGAGGGUGACCGGCCACACUGGGACUGAGACACGGCCCAGACUCCUACGGGAGGCAGCAGCUAAGAAUCUUCCGCAAUGGACGAAAGUCUGACGGAGCGACGCCGCGUGAACGAAGAAGGCCGUGAGGUUGUAAAGUUCUUUUCUUGUGGGGGAAUAAUGUAAGAGUGACUGCUUACAGAUGACGUGAAACAAGGAAUAAGCCCGGCUAAUUACGUG
rnacentral:rRNA from 1 species